rnacentral:lncRNA from 1 species
UGGGUUCGAUCCCCAGCACUGAAUAAAAACAGGUAUAGCACAUACCUACAGUCCUGGCAGUCAGUCGGAAUGGGAGACUCACAAGUCCAUGGUUAUCCUUGGCUAACCUAGCAAAUUCCAAACCAGCCAAGGCUACGUGAGACCUUGGCUAAAACAAAACCAACAAAACUGCUCUUAAAAAAGCAAAUGAACAACAACAACAAAAAUGAAUGAAUAAAUAAAUAAAUAAAUAAAUAAAUAAGCUAACAUAAAAAUAUAUACACAGCAAAGCAUAAGGGAAGACAUGAGGGCCAGUAAGAUUACAAACAACAGAGAAUUUUGAUUUGAUGAGGAAAAGCUGAAAUACCAGUUAAAAAAAAGGACACCUAUCUGGACAAAGAAGAAAAUAGUUUAGAUACCCAGGGGAAGUAUCUAUGAGCAAGGACUUAUAAAAUGAAAAAGAAUUCAUCAAAUAAAACCACUGGCAUACGCCAAAGAUAAAAGUUACAGAUGUGUUCUGAAGAAACAUGUAGAUUCCUGGCACUAUGAAAUAAUGCCUCCCAGAGAGUCAUUUAGCAAUAUUUGCCACAGGAGGAUUUUUUUAUUUAUUUAUUUUUUUUUUGGGAUGAUUGUAAAACUAUGUUAAUCUCAGCCUGCCUAGAAUUCCCCAGUGAGUGGCUCACUGGUAGAGUGCUUACUUGAUAUUUGUUCCGUCUCUAGCACUGGGGCGGGGGCAGGGGGCGAGGAUGUCAUCCCCCUUUGGGGAAUGCAUUCUGGGAAGAUAAUUCAGUAGCAGAAAAACAUUUGCAGAGAGACCUUUACAGCUGCUUCAUUAACUGGAAACCCCUCCGUGGUGAGGCAGCGGCUGAAUAGAUUGUGGUUUGAUAGAAUGAACGUCUGUGGAUCACAACUAUGAAAAGUAUUUGGAAGAAAAGUAUGUGAUGUAGUCAUAAGAGAGAGCACAGGGCUGGGGAGACAGCUCAGUGGCUAAGAACGCUUGCUAUCCAGUCUCGAGGACCUGAGUUCAAAUCCCCAACACCCAUAUAAAAAGCCAGGUGUGGCCACGUGUACCAGAGCUAUAAGGGUAGGGGGCAGAGUCUGAGAUCUGUUUACUGCCAGGCUUACAGGUUCAUCGAGAGACCCUGACUCCAAGUAAUAGGAGAGUAACAGCAUGGACCCUUGGUGUCCUGUGGACCUUGUGCAGGUGCGCACACGUGCACUCAUGCAUGCACGCACAAGGAAAGACUGACCGGGCAGAUUCUGAUUGCGUAAUGUGAGCCACUGGUGGGACUGUGUCCAAAUAGUUGCCAGGCAGACAAUGGAUUCCCAAUCUGUAAAUAGUCAAUGAUUUGUUUCGGAGGUUACAUCUUUUUGAGUUAUUUUGGGCUGGUACUCACAUCUGUACAUUUCCAUUUCAGUUAGUAUUAUAUGCUUGAAGACUUCUAUAAAUAAUAUUUAAGAAUAACUAACUAGUUGGCCAGAUGUGAUAGUGCACACUGGUAACUCUAGCACAUAGAGUGAGGCAGGAGGAUUGCUAUUUUGGGACCGGGUGGUCUCCACAGAUGAUGGGAUGGCUAUGAAGUUCUGAGCAUUCUCGAAAGUCUUGAAUCUCCUGACCAAUCCAGACCAAGUAGUAGGGAUAAAGAACCAAAUGGGAUCAGAGCAGUUGUAUAAAGGGGCAGACAGUGUGUGUGUGUUGUCAUUCUCUGUCUGCACAGGCAAGUGCUCAUUAAACGUCUGUGAAGUGACUUAAUGUGUAGAGAGGGCUCUGACACUCAGUAUGCCACAACCUUAAGCCAGCCAAACUGCAGAAAUCUUGACUUGUGGGAAGUCUCCAGCAGGGGGCACUAUUGUGCCUCUCAAGAUAGACUUCAAAAGCAGAGAGAGAGAGAUGAUUGAGGUGUCCGCCUUCCUUUUGGGAAAGGAGGCGUAAGAGACAAGACUGUAGGGGCUUCUUGCCGGUAUUUUGUGUAGCAGCAAAGAUGCAGAGGUUCUCGGGAACCUGUAUUGGGAGUGCACGUGUGGUGUGUGUGUGUGUUUGUGUGUGUGUGUGUGUGUGUGUGUGUGGUAUUUCAGUGAGAGAUCUUCAGAAAUGAAGCCAGGCAUGGUAGUGUAGGCUGCAGUCCCAGCAAAGUUGGGAGACUGAGGCAGGACGAUAGCAGAUUCAAGUCUUCCCUCAACAACUUAGGAAGACAAUAUUUUUUAAAAAAAUAAAAAGAGGGUUUGAGCUGGUCGGGCACAGAGGGCUUGCUUAGGUUUCCCCAGUGAGGGGCUGGAGUAUGACUCAGCGGUAGAGGUUUUGCCAACAGAAAGAGGGAGGAAUCUCCUGAUUCUGAAAGCGAAUCCCCCAAAUGCUAAAGAGACAGAGAACCAAGCGCUUCUUGGGGACCCUUGCAAGAUGAAGGGAGAUGCUAAACUCAUAGCUUAUAUGCUCAAUAUUUGUAUUACUUUCCAGAAGUUACACAAACAAGUCACUCAGCAAAACAUACAAGUGACCACAGAAGCACAGGGAACCAAUGGCCCCAUGGCUAAGAGCCAGGGACAUUCUCACAGCCAGCUGGGAAUCAGCUGCUCUGACCGAGGACCAAUUACCCUGACAUUUCAGGAAAGUUUGUUGUUGUUGUUGUUGUUGUUGUUGUUUUAAAACCAUGGCAAGAGUGGCCAUAUUUAUCUUUGGAUAGUUUAUAGAAAAUAGGAUUUGGGGGAGGUGGGGCAAGCGUAUGCUCUUUCACUGGUAAAUCUAUUAUUUAAUGCUAUCAUUUCCUUAAUCCCUAUGGGCACAAUUCUGAAUGUACAUAUGGCCAGGAGAAGUUUGAUUUUUUUUUUUAAUGUGCUAAAGGAAAUGGGUAAUAUUGGCGAGCUGAGCUAGAUGGAAUUUGAUUGACGGGUGGCAGGGGCCAAGGUGCCUGGCCAUCUCUCUUUGGCAGGGAAGUUGAAGGUGGAAGCAGUCCUCUAAGUGGGAAUUGAAGAGAGGAGGUGCAGACCUGAGAAGUAGGGAGAAAACUCCCUUACCUUAGCUGGUGGCAAACUGCCAGAGAAAGCAGUUGGAAGUGAGCGCGCUCUCUUCCCAGUGGAAGAUGCUAGAUCUUCAGGAACUUGGGAUCCACCUGGGAUUGGUGGAGCAGAGACGUCAGUGGCAUCAGAUAUUCCUCUCCUCACAUAUUGGGCGAAGUAUCUUGGUGACCAAGUAGAAGAGGGUGGGCAUAUACAGGGAAGAAGACCAGAAGAAGGUGGAACUUUGGGAAGACAACACAAGGUGUCUCCAGAGGACGUUGUAGCCAGUUAUCUUAGGGACCAGGAGAGAGUGGGUUGAGGAGAGAUCCUGAGGGUCAGCCCUGCCCACUUCUCAGUUGUCAUGGGACCAAGUGCCUAUGCUGUGAAGCCUUAUAGUUCUAUACAUUGUACCUCCUGUUUCUAAUAAAGUUCUCUGGAACCAUUUCUGAA